CAUGGGUGCGCAUGGCCACACCUGCUGGGGAGUAUGAAGAAUCAGCUCGAAUGGAGAUCAGGAGGAACAGGAAGGAUCAUCGCAGGCCUGAAGCUCGGCAGAGGGAUUAGAUUUGACAGACUCAGAUACAGGAAGCCAGUGAAGACAGGGAAACAACAUCGCCUUUCAUUUAGAUUGCCACGGCAGUGAAGUUUCUACAGAAUUCCCGGGUCCGCCAGAGCCCACUUGCAACCAGGAGAGCAUUCCUAAA
rnacentral:sRNA from 1 species